AAUGUUCUCCACAGCUACAGCGUUUGAGAAGACGCAGCCCGUUGUAGAGGUACCAGGGGCCGAUGGUGGAGCGACGGGCCAGGUGCAUGCUGGGAAGCGCAGCGCAGCCUCUGGCGAUCUCUGUGUUGAUGUCCCAGAUGACAUGAAGGGGGACAUCGGUCAGUGGCGGCAGUGUGGAAAUGACCACCCGAGAAAGGGCAGCAGUGCAGUAUAAUGGAUGGAGAUGUGCCUCAGAGGGAGCCUGGCCAGAGCAAGCUCUCUAAACUCUGCAAGCUCCAUCUGGAGCAGGGCCAGGGUCUCCCUUCUGUGUCGGGCAUCAUUUUGGGGAGAAGCGAGGGCAGCGCAGGGCCGG